rnacentral:rRNA from 1 species
AAACCAACAGGGAUUGCCUUAGUAACGGCGAGUGAAGCGGCAAAAGCUCAAAUUUGAAAUCGGCCUCCAGGUCGAGUUGUAAUUUGUAGAUUGUAUCUUGAGAGCGGAUUAAAGUCUGUUGGAACACAGCGCCUUAGAGGGUGACAGCCCCGUAAAAUCUAUUCUCAUUGUAAGAUACUUUCGAAGAGUCGAGUUGUUUGGGAAUGCAGCUCUAAGUGGGAGGUAAAUUCCUUCUAAAGCUAAAUAUUGACGAGAGACCGAUAGCGAACAAGUACUGUGAAGGAAAGAUGAAAAGCACUUUGAAAAGAGAGUGAAAAAGUACGUGAAAUUGUUAAAAGGGAAGGGUAUUGAAUCAGACUUGGUGCUGUUGUUCAACCAUGUUUCGGCAUGGUGUACUCAGCAGUACUAGGCCAAGGUGGGGUGUUUGGGAGUGAAAAAGAAGUAGGAACGUAACUCUUCGGAGUGUUAUAGCCUACUUUCAUAGCUCCUCAGACGCCUCAGGACUGCGCUUCGGCAAGGACCUUGGCAUAAUGAUUCUAUACCGC